AGCCCCAGUCCACGGGCCCUGAACAAACCCCAUGUCUGAUCUCGGAAGCUAAGCAGGGUCGGGCCUGGUUAGUACUUGGAUGGGAGACCACCUAGGAAGACCAGGUACUGUGGGAA
rnacentral:rRNA from 1 species